GACGAACGCUGGCGGCGUGCUUAACACAUGCAAGUCGAACGGAAAGGCCCUGCUUUUGUGGGGUGCUCGAGUGGCGAACGGGUGAGUAACACGUGAGUAACCUGCCCUUGACUUUGGGAUAACUUCAGGAAACUGGGGCUAAUACCGGAUAGGAGCUCCUGCUGCAUGGUGGGGGUUGGAAAGUUUCGGCGGUUGGGGAUGGACUCGCGGCUUAUCAGCUUGUUGGUGGGGUAGUGGCUUACCAAGGCUUUGACGGGUAGCCGGCCUGAGAGGGUGACCGGCCACAUUGGGACUGAGAUACGGCCCAGACUCCUACGGGAGGCAGCAGUGGGGAAUAUGGCACAAUGGGCGGAAGCCUGAUGCAGCAACGCCGCGUGCGGGAUGACGGCCUUCGGGUUGUAAACCGCUUUAGCCUGUGACGAAGCGUGAGUGACGGUAAUGGGUAAAGAAGCACCGGCUAACUACGUG
rnacentral:rRNA from 1 species